rnacentral:tRNA from 1 species
CGGGCUGUAGCGCAGUUGGCUAGCGCGCGUCGUUCGGGACGACGAGGUCGCAGGUUCAAGUCCUGUCAGCCCGAC